UACGGAGGGGGCUAGCGUUGUUCGGAAUUACUGGGCGUAAAGGGCGCGUAGGCGGUAUGUCAAGUCAGGGGUGAAAGGCCUGGGCUCAACCCAGGAAUUGCCUUUGAAACUGGCAAACUAGAGUCCGAAAGAGGAUGGCGGAAUUCCCAGUGUAGAGGUGAAAUUCGUAGAUAUUGGGAAGAACACCGGUGGCGAAGGCGGCCAUCUGGAUCGGCACUGACGCUGAGGCGCGAAAGCGUGGGGAGCAAACAGG
rnacentral:rRNA from 1 species